CAAAGGCUAUAAAACUAAACAGGGAGGGGCCCUUAAUAAAGCAUAAUCCAAAUUUUGCCCCCUAUCAAGACAUAUAUACACAUACAUUUAGGCAGUCUUUGACUUUAGUAUUUUCAGCUUUUGAAUAGCCCACCCUUUCACAUAUUGUACCAACAGUCUAAAUUACCUUUCAUAUGCCAAAGUGUGACUUUCAUAUAUCAGUUAAUGAAUAACUGUUGACCUGUUUUCACAAUGUGAGCUACUUACCAGCAAACAGGGAAGUUUUGUCUAUAUAGCGGUGUUUGUACAAACGUGAUCAUUUUAUUGUUCUUUGCUCUAAUAUCAUUUUAUAAAAAUUAAUAAGAAAUAAAACAACUGCUGAAACUAAAAUGAUAGGAAGCAUAUGUCUCAAACUUAAUACUAUAAAGACCAUAUUAGAAAUCUGAAGCAUGACAAAAAUGUAACUCUCUGGCCUCAACUGACUAGUCAUGGAUCCUACUACAUUCUUUCUGCAUAUUGAACCAACCUUCUGGGGAGACAGUGGACCUACCAGACACCUACCGGACUGCAACAAUUGUUUCACGUGAUCUUUCAGACGAGAGCAAAUGUCUUCCUAAAUAGAAAAAAAGUUCAGGAAGUCAUUUUCAUAAAGAGUUUUAAUAAAGAGUAAACUAAAAAUUAUGAUACAUAAUUAGAUUUGAUGUCAAACACAAGAUCAUCACAUGGGAGCAUCACCUCUUUUACAAGUCAACAGAGAAUGGAGACCCCCAACCCAAUAAGGAAAAGCCACCAGGAUCCACUCUUCUCCAGUCAUCCAAGAAGGGCUACUGUCCAAGUCCAACUAACUUCAAUGUUACCCUAUGUUUGGCCAAAACUAACUUUAAAAUAAAAUAAAAUAAAAAUUUAUGAAGCUACA
rnacentral:lncRNA from 1 species